rnacentral:tRNA from 1 species
GGCUCCUUGGUCAAGCGGUUAAGACAUUGCCCUUUCACGGCGGUAACACGGGUUCGAGUCCCGUAGGAGUCACCA